GAUCCGUCUUCAGUGUAGGAGGAUAGUUGGCUACUUCAAAAGCAGUACCACUGCAAAGACAAGGCUGACACAGGUGCAGGAGCAAAUGAUGCCUACAGAGCCUGUGCUGAAGCUCAUUCAAGAGGUGGAGACACGCUGGAACAGCACCUUCCACAUGUUGCAACGAGUGUACAACCUCUACAAAUUAGCUAUAACCUUUCUCUGUACCCCAGCCUCAUCCGUCCAUUGUGAAAGACUAUUUUCAAAAGCAGGAGAAAUCCUAUCGAAGAAAAGAAACCGUUUAAAG